rnacentral:rRNA from 1 species
AACGCUAGCUACAGGCUUAACACAUGCAAGUCGAGGGGCAGCAUGAGGUCAGCUUGCUGACUUUGAUGGCGACCGGCGCACGGGUGAGUAACGCGUAUCCAACCUUCCCCUGUCUCGGGCAUAACCCGGUGAAAACUGGACUAAUUCCCGAUGUUGUUCCUUGACGGCAUCAGAUUGGAACCAAAGAUUUAUCGGACAGGGAUGGGGAUGCGUCUGAUUAGGUAGUUGGUGAGGUAACGGCUCACCAAGCCUUCGAUCAGUAGGGGUUCUGAGAGGAAGGUCCCCCACAUUGGAACUGAGACACGGUCCAAACUCCUACGGGAGGCAGCAGUGAGGAAUAUUGGUCAAUGGGCGAGAGCCUGAGCCAGCCAAGUAGCGUGCAGGAUGACGGCCCUAUGGGUUGUAAACUGCUUUUAUACGGGGAUAAAGUUUGGGACGUGUCCCUAUUUGCAGGUACCGUAUGAAUAAGGACCGGCUAAUUCCGUGCCAGCAGCCGCGGUAAUACGGAAGGUCCGGGCGUUAUCCGGAUUUAUUGGGUUUAAAGGGAGCGUAGGCCGGAGAUUAAGCGUGUUGUGAAAUGUAGGAGCUCAACGUCUGCACUGCAGCGCGAACUGGUUUCCUUGAGUACGUAGGAAGUUGGCGGAAUUCGUGGUGUAGCGGUGAAAUGCUUAGAUAUCACGAAGAACUCCGAUUG